rnacentral:rRNA from 1 species
GCGCAGCAGGCGAGAAACCUUCGCAAUGCGGGAAACCGCGACGAGGGGACUCCCAGUGCCUACGCUCAGCGUAGGCUGUUCCCGAGCCUAGAAAGCUCGGGGAGUAAGGGCUGGGUAAGACGGGUGCCAGCCGCCGCGGUAAUACCCGCAGCCCGAGUGGUGGCCACUAUUAUUGGGCCUAAAGCGUCCGUAGCCGGCCCGGUAAAUGCCUGGGUAAAUCGUGAGGCCUAACCUCACGAAUUCCGGGUAGACUGCCGGGCUAGGGACCGGAGGAGGGAGAGGGUACUCCAGGGGUAGGGGUGAAAUCCUGUAAUCCCUGGAGGACCACCGGUGGCGAAGGCGCUCUCCUAGGACGGGUCCGACGGUGAGGGACGAAAGCCAGGGGAGCGCACCGGAUUAGAUACCCCUGUAGU